GGCGAGGUGUCUCGUAAUCACGUAAUCACUUAUUUAGUUCUUCACGUCUUUAUCAAACUUCCACCCUCUAAAGCAAUAGUCCCUCCCCCCCCGUAUUCACAUUUGACACCCACAUUUUUAAAAAAAUUUCUUUCUUUUUGGUCACAUGUAUAUUACAUUUUAAAUGUGUUUGUGUGUGUGAGCAAAUGGACAAUGCAUAAAUGGAUAUGAAAAAAAAAAAACCCAUAUUAGUUUAAUAAUACUCAUAACACUCCCUGUAAAGCAAGGGGAUUUUUGUAGCGUUGAAUAAAUAUAGUAAACGGCUUGUUAAUCUUAAUCUAAUGACUUAAUGAACAUCCUCC
rnacentral:lncRNA from 1 species